rnacentral:rRNA from 1 species
UACAGAGGGGGCAAGCGUUGUUCGGAAUUACUGGGCGUAAAGGGCGCGUAGGCGGCCUGCUAAGUCGAACGUGAAAUCCCCGAGCUCAACUCGGGAACUGCGUCCGAUACCGGCAGGCUUGAAUCCGGGAGAGGGAUGCGGAAUUCCAGGUGUAGCGGUGAAAUGCGUAGAUAUCUGGAGGAACACCGGUGGCGAAGGCGGCAUCCUGGACCGGCAUUGACGCUGAGGCGCGAAAGCCAGGGGAGCAAACGGG